GGCAACAGCCAUACAGUAUCACCCUGCAGCCCAAGACCGGUUACUCACUGAAGCUAUGCAGGGCUGAGCCUGGUUAGUACCUGGAUGGGAGACCACUAGGGAACACUGGGUUGCUGUUGGAA
rfam:Danio rerio chromosome 19, GRCz11 reference primary assembly.